rnacentral:rRNA from 1 species
GCGGAGGAAAAGAAACCAACAGGGAUUGCCCUAGUAACGGCGAGUGAAGCGGCAACAGCUCAAAUUUGAAAUCUGGCUCCUUUGGGGUCCGAGUUGUAAUUUGCAGAGGGAGCUUUUGGCGUCGGUCGUGGUCUAAGUUCCUUGGAACAGGACGUCACAGAGGGUGAGAAUCCCGUACGUGGCCGCCGGCCUUCGCCUUGUAAAGCCCCUUCGACGAGUCGAGUUGUUUGGGAAUGCAGCUCUAAAUGGGAGGUAAAUUUCUUCUAAAGCUAAAUACCCGCCAGAGACCGAUAGCGCACAAGUAGAGUGAUCGAAAGAUGAAAAGCACUUUGGAAAGAGAGUGAAAAAGCACGUGAAAUUGUUGAAAGGGAAGCGCUUGCGGCCAGACGUGCCCGCGGUUGAUCAUCCAGGCUCCAGCCUGGUGCACUCCUCCGCGGGCAGGCCAGCAUCAGUUCGGGCGGUCGGAUAAAGGCCUCUAUCACGUACCACCCCUCGGGGUGGCCUUAUAGGGGAGGCGCAACACGGCCAGCCCGGACUGAGGUUCCGCGCAUCUGCUAGGAUGCUGGCGUAAUGGCAGCAAGCGGCCCGUCUUGAAACACGGACCAAGGAGUCUAACAUCUAUGCGAGUGUUUGGGUGUCAAGCCCGAGCGCGCAAUGAAAGUGAACGGAGGUGGGAACCCUUACCGGUGCACCAUCGACCGAUCCUGAUGUCUUCGGAUGGAUUUGAGUAAGAGCAUAGCUGUUGGGACCCGAAAGAUGGUGAACUAUGCCUGAAUAGGGUGAAGCCAGAGGAAACUCUGGUGGAGGCUCGCAGCGGUUCUGACGUGCAAAUCGAUCGUCAAAUUUGGGCAUAGGGGCGAAAGACUAAUCG